rnacentral:rRNA from 1 species
CCUACGGGAGGCAGCAGUGAGGAAUAUUGGUCAAUGGCCGGAAGGCUGAACCAGCCAUGCCGCGUGAAGGUCAGUGCCCUAUGGGCGUUAAACUUCUUUUGUGCGGGAGCAAUAAUGGUCACGUGUGGCCAGACGAGAGUACCGUACGAAUAAGCAUCGGCUAACUCCGUGCCAGGAGCCGCGGUAAUACGGGGGAUGCAAGCGUUAUUCCGAAUUAUUGGGUUUAAAGGGUGCGUAGGCUGUGAGGUAAGUCGGCGGUGAAAUGCCCGCGCUCAACGGGGUGAAGUGCCAUUGAUACUGGCUGGCUGGAGUGCGGAUGCGGUGGGAGGAAUGUGUGGUGUAGCGGUGAAAUGCAUAGAUAUCACACAGAACACCGAUUGCGAAGGCAUCUCACGAAUCCGCGAUUGACGCUGAUGCACGAAAGCGUGGGUAUCAAACAGGAUUAGAUACCCGGGUAGUC